GGCGCAUUCGUCUAGUGGCCUAGGACACAUCCCUCUCAAGGAUGAGAUCACGGGUUCGAAUCCCGUAUGCGCUACCA
rnacentral:tRNA from 2 species